rnacentral:rRNA from 1 species
CCUACGGGGGGCAGCAGUAGGGAAUGUUCGGCAAUGGGGGGAACCCUGACCGAGCAACGCCGCGUGAAUGAAGAAGUUAUUCGGAAUGUAAAGCUCUUUUAACAGGGAAGAAAGAGAAAUUUGACGGUACCUGAAGAAUAAGCUCCGGCUAACAACGUGCCAGCAGCCGCGGUAAUACGGAGGGAGCGAGCGUUAUCCGGAAUUAUUGGGCGAAAAGGGUGGGUAGAUGGGAUAGUAAGUCUUUUGUAAAAAUGCUGGGCUCAACCCAGUAGGGCAAAAGAUACUGGAAAGCUAGAGUGUGACAGAGGUAAGUGGAACUACAUGUGUAGCGGUGAAAUGCGUAGAUAUAUGUAAGAACACCGAUGGCGAAGGCAGCUUGCUGGGUCGAUACUGACGUUGAGGCACGAAAGCGUGGGGAGCAAACAGGAUUAGAUACCCUAGUAGUC